CGCUGACGUGGGCGAAGCCUGUCCGCCUUCCGCGUGAGUGAAGAAGGCCUUCGGGUUGUAAAGCUCUUUCGCAAGGGAAGAAAACUUAGGCGCUAAUAUCGCUUGAGGUUGACGGUACCUUGAUAAGAAGCACCGGCUAACUACGUGCCGGCAGCCGCGGUAAUACGUAGGGUGCGAGCGUUAAUCGGAAUUACUGGGCGUAAAGCGUGCGCAGGCGGUUCUAUAAGACAGAUGUGAAAUCCCCGGGCUCAACCUGGGAAUGGCAUUUGUGACUGUAGAGCUAGAGUACGGUAGAGGGGGAUGGAAUUCCGCGUGUAGCAGUGGAAGGCGGGGGAUAUGCGGAGGAACACCGAUGGCGAAGGCAAUCCCCUGGACCUGUACUGACGCUCAUGCACGAAAG
rnacentral:rRNA from 1 species